GACGAACGCUGGCGGCGUGCCUAAUACAUGCAAGUAGAACGCACAGUUUAUACCGUAGCUUGCUACACCAUAGACUGUGAGUUGCGAACGGGUGAGUAACGCGUAGGUAACCUGCCUGGUAGCGGGGGAUAACUAUUGGAAACGAUAGCUAAUACCGCAUAAUAUUAAUUAUUGCAUGAUAAUUAAUUGAAAGGUGCAAUUGCACCACUACCAGAUGGACCUGCGUUGUAUUAGCUAGUAGGUGAGGUAACGGCUCACCUAGGCGACGAUACAUAGCCGACCUGAGAGGGUGAUCGGCCACACUGGGACUGAGACACGGCCCAGACUCCUACGGGAGGCAGCAGGAGGGAAUCUUCGGCAAGGGACGAAAGUCUGACCGAGCAACGCCGCGUGAGGGAAGAAGGGUUUCGGAUCGUAAAGCUCUGUUGUAAGAGAAGAACGGGUGUGAGAGUGGAAAGUUCACACUGUGACGGUAUCUUACCAGAAAGGGACGGCUAACUACGUG
rnacentral:rRNA from 1 species